GCCCUCUCAGGAUUGUACCUGGAGGGUUUCCAGUACUCUACCAGUCUCGGCUAUGGGAGGGAGAUUCAAGCAGGGGCCUGCCCAUUCUAUUUCUAGCUUGGGCAAUGGCUAGUGAGUGGAAGGCAAUCUGCUACUAGU